GAGGAGCUUGCUCCUUGGGUGACGAGUGGCGGACGGGUGAGUAAUGUCUGGGAAACUGCCCGAUGGAGGGGGAUAACUACUGGAAACGGUAGCUAAUACCGCAUAACGUCGCAAGACCAAAGAGGGGGACCUUCGGGCCUCUUGCCAUCGGAUGUGCCCAGAUGGGAUUAGCUAGUAGGUGGGGUAACGGCUCACCUAGGCGACGAUCCCUAGCUGGUCUGAGAGGAUGACCAGCCACACUGGAACUGAGACACGGUCCAGACUCCUACGGGAGGCAGCAGUGGGGAAUAUUGCACAAUGGGCGCAAGCCUGAUGCAGCCAUGCCGCGUGUAUGAAGAAGGCCUUCGGGUUGUAAAGUACUUUCAGCGAGGAGGAAGGCGUUGUGGUUAAUAACCGCAGCGAUUGACGUUACUCGCAGAAGAAGCACCGGCUAACUCCGUGCCAGCAGCCGCGGUAAUACGGAGGGUGCAAGCGUUAAUCGGAAUUACUGGGCGUAAAGCGCACGCAGGCGGUCUGUCAAGUCGGAUGUGAAAUCCCCGGGCUCAACCUGGGAACUGCAUCCGAAACUGGCAGGCUAGAGUCUUGUAGAGGGGGGUAGAAUUCCAGGUGUAGCGGUGAAAUGCGUAGAGAUCUGGAGGAAUACCGGUGGCGAAGGCGGCCCCCUGGACAAAGACUGACGCUCAGUGCGAAAGCGUGGGGAGCAAACAUGAUUAGAUACCCUGGUAGUCCACGCCGUAGACGAUGUCGACUUGGAGGUUGUGCCCCUUGAG
rnacentral:rRNA from 1 species